CCUACUGCUCCACCUUCUUCGUCCCGCCAGAAGCCCUGCUUGCGCCUUCCUGUGGAGCCAAAGGGAGAAGAGGUGAAGCAGAAGUAUAACAUGCAUCCAGAGAAGUGCAAAGACUUGGGCAUUUUACAAAGUGAAUAUCCCCAGCACCGAGAUCAAGAAACACCAUAAUCAGGAUCCGGAAGUCCCCCCAAAUAUCAGAGGCAAAGACUUCUGAAUCCCAGUGCUCCAACUUGAGAAAGCUGUGGAGGCUGUGGUUCAGGCCGGGGGAAUGAGCGUGGAUGAAGUAGAAUAGUAUGCUGACUAGACCAGUGCUUCUCAAACUGCAGUGUGCCACUGAAUGACCCAGGCGUCUGGU